rnacentral:rRNA from 1 species
GAUCAUGGCUCAGGACGAACGCUGGCGGCGUGCUUAACACAUGCAAGUCGAACGAGAAUCACUGGAAGGAGUUUUCGGACAACGGAAGGUGAGGACAGUGGCGGACGGGUGAGUAACGCGUGAGGAACCUGCCUUUCAGAGGGGGACGAACAGUUGGAAACGACUGCUAAUACCGCAUGACACAUAGAGAUCGCAUGGUUUUUAUUGUCAAAGAUUUAUCGCUGAAAGAUGGCCUCGCGU